GGAGCCAAGUUCGAGGGUCUCCAAAGGGCCGCGGAUGAGAGCGGGACGGGCCCGUGCGCACAGCCGAUGCGUCUGCCUGGAGACCCGUGCCGCGUGGGGCCGAAGCCCCGCAAGUCUGCUCCGAGGACCAUGUCCAAGCAAGCCGGCGGCGGCGGCGCCAGCGACCCGAGGGCCAAAUGCGAAACAACGUCAGCAGUGCCGCCUCUCGGCAAGACGGAGUACCAGGACGGCGUGUCGAAGCUCGGCGCCAUCAUCAUGCGAGACAAGCUGCACAGGAAGUAAAAACCCAACUUGUGGACGAUCAUGGAGUAAAAUUGUUAUUAUUA